UGAACGCUAGCUACAGGCUUAACACAUGCAAGUCGAGGGGCGAUCAUGUUGGUUGGCUGCAACCAAUGAUGGCGACCGGCGCACGGGUGAGUAACGCGUAUCCAACCUUCCCCUUAGUAGAGGAUAGCCCGGCGAAAGUCGGAUUAAUACUCUAUGUUCUUCAAUGCGGACAUCUAAGUUGAAGCAAAGAUUUAUCGCUAAGGGAUGGGGAUGCGUCUGAUUAGGUUGCAGGCGGGUAACGGCCCACCUGGCCUACGAUCAGUAGGGGUUCUGAGAGGAAGGUCCCCCACACUGGUACUGAGACACGGACCAGACUCCUACGGGAGGCAGCAGUGAGGAAUAUUGGUCAAUGGGCGUGAGCCUGAACCAGCCAAGUAGCGUGCCAGGACGACUGCCCUAUGGGUUGUAAACUGCUUUUAUCAGGGAAUAAAGUGAGGCACGCGUGCCUUUUUGUAUGUACCUGAUGAAUAAGGACCGGCUAAUUCCGUGCCAGCCGCCGC
rnacentral:rRNA from 1 species